rnacentral:lncRNA from 1 species
UCGGCCCUUCAAUUGAAGCUAUUCGAAGAAAAGAAUCAGGGGAUUAAUUUCUUUGAUUCAAGAACCUUCAGAGAUUGUAACCCGCUUAUUAUUUGAUUUAAUCAAUUUGAUAUUUGUGCAAGUUUUCUUGUCUUUUAUUUUAGGCAACAAAAUUUGUGCUUACAUUGUUAUCCAUAACAAAUUGAUACUUUACAAGAUUAAUAGGGAGGACAUCGACACCAUAAAUGGUCCACGAGAUGUUGAUGCUAUUUAGAAGAUUGUCGGUGAUGGUGAUGAGCAUUUGGACUAUAUUUUAGGUUGAUAGUAAUUGAUACACAUGCUGGAGAAGAAUUUCAAAUUAAAGUUGACAUCCAUAAAUUUGGGGAUUCAUAAAGCAUGCAACUUUUGAAUGAAUAAUCAAGUAGCAUUCCUAUCAGAACUACUACAAAAUUCUUGAAAAAUAAUGUGGCAUUUGGAUUUUGGAAAUAGGAAUAGGAAUGGGAAAAAGCGGAGAAGACAGUGGAAAUUGGAAUAACAAAUCAAUCAAUACUUUGAUUUUUGUGUAAGAAAUUGAAAUUGGAAGCAAGGUAUUGUUCUAGAUAAGUCCACAUGGAAGGCUUUAUUUAAACCCAUGUCAUUAUGUAAGAGUUAUGUGUAAAUUGACUUUAUUGUGGAAUAAACACUUGCAAUCCUAUAAAGUAUUAUGCCUAUCUAAUAUAAGGUGCUCAAUAAUAUUGAUGGACCAAAACAAUGGAGAACUAUUAUGCAUUACAAAUCCUUGCCAUUAUAAUAGUACAAAAUGAAAUAGCCCGUAUUGUUUGUUAUGUAUUGGUUUAUUGAAAAUAGUGGACAAGAAUAUGCAGCCAAUAAGGUACUUUCAAAUGAAGGAAAGUGACAUUAAUGCACAAUUUAUCAAGUUCAAAAACAGAGUCAGUACAGAAUUGGUAAAGGGACAGCAAAUUUUUCGAAGCUUAGUUUGUGGGGAUAAGAUUCCUCCUAAUCUCGCAAAAUAUUGAGAAAUUAAAGAAUUGGUGUAGACAUAGAAUAUAUUAUGAUAUUCAAUACUAGUUUUGGUUGAGAUAUUUGAUUAAAAAAAGCAGCUAGAUACUCAUUUAUUAUCGUCACACCAAAUACUGGUCCAAACCAUAUCAAUUGUCCACUUAUAUAGUGCAAAUAAGUUCUCACUAGCUAGUAAUAAUUUAUCUCAAAGGAUCACAAUUUUCUUUACAUCUAAUAACUAGGUAGCACAUUCUUUGCUUCUCGUAACUUUUAGUCUUAAAAUACUUUGACUAGGUAUAUUGUAAAUAAAUAUAUAAAAAGUCAUUACAAUUUUUGUUGCUCCUAAAAUUCAUUUAGAUGAGAUAAGUUGAAAUUGUGUUUUUUAACUUAUGUAGCACCUUAUCACUAUUAAAAAAAUGGUAAGUUAUGCUUUGGUCAUAUAAGUCAAAAUUCUAUUAUAAAAAUUUACCAAACGAUAGUUUGUGAACCUACAUUGAUUACAAGUUAUAUGUGAAAAGGAAUCUUAUAAAUUAAAAGUAAUAAUGAAUCAUAUAAUAAAUAAACAUAAAAUUUGGUAUUAAUGAAUCAUAAAAUUUGGUAUUAAUGUUUUCUAUUAAUUUUGAUUCAAUCAUGAAUUUCAUGCUUUCAUGAUUUCAAAAGAAAAGGAAUUCUAAAUAGAUUUAUCUUAUAUAUUAAAUUUGUAUAAUUAUAUGAUACAAAAAUUUUGAAUCAGAAGAUGAAAUCAAUUUUAAAGAAUAACUUGAACAAAUCAUGACAUUUUGAUUACAUUAGAAAUAUAUUCUCAAAAAUAAUCUUUCCUUGCUCAGAAAAAUUAUCCAAUGCAAUCAACUAAUACUAGUUUUCUAUCUAUACUACGAGUCAAGCCACACUCUAUGGGUGUGCUAAUAAGAAAAAUUAUAGUUAGAAAACAAAAUAUAUAUACAUAUAUAGCUAUUUAUAGAAAAAAUUUCAUAGAAAUUGGUAUUAUAUUUCAAAACUUAAGUUUCAAAGAGUUUUGAAAAUGAUAAUGUUUAAAUUGUUAGUAUUUUGAUAGCAAUGAACAAUUUUUGGUAAUUAUCUAAAAAAAGAUAAUUUUAUUGACAAGAUGACAAAGAUGUUUAGAAUAUAAAAUUUUCUCAAGUUAUGUAUAUAGUAAAACAUAGUCUAAACCAUCAUUUUUCUUAUAUUUUCUAUCCUAUUAUAUUGCAAGGAAAGUUUAUAACAAUAGUUUGUUGUCUUUAUCAAAUUGUAAUACUAAUGUAAACUGGCAAAAUCUAUUUAAAUUCUAUCUUUAGAGGAACUACUAAAGUCUAUUCUUAAUACUAUCUUGAACUUUGCCAAAAAUUGGUUUGUAAUAUUUGAAAACACAAUCUAACACUUAUUCACGGAUUACUCAAGUACUUGAGAUGGAGGAAUUUCCUUGGCCAUAUGUCCUUUAUUUCAAUACACUUGCAAUGAAGUCAUUAGAUUGUUGAAGGAAGAUAAUGCAUUUGCUAUAUACUGAUAUCCAUAACUUAAUUUUAUAGAUUGAUCAAUAGUUUAUAGGACUUCAAAAACAACUUCCCUUGUAACAACCAAGUAAAACAAAAAGACAUACUCUAGAAAACUUGUAAAAUUUUAAACUAUCUAAUAUUUUCCAAUCUAAAGCAGCUGUGGUUAUUUUAAUUUAUUCAAUUAAAAACAAAAAUAAAUCUAUUAGCACUUUAAAAUAUUGAUUGUUGUUUAAUUAGUUUGCUAUUAUAUUGGAGUAUUUUUUUUUGUUGCUACAAGUUGCUCCAAAUAUAUGGAUUCAAUCAAAUUCCAUGACAGUGGUAUUAGAGCGGCUACAUUCAACUUGGAAUAUAGUUAAUUAAAACUGAUAAAUUCUUCUCCUAAACUUUCCUUCAUUCUAAAUUUUUAUUUUUUCUAUCACCAUCAUCUUAUUUUUUGAUCACAAAUAUUAUUUUUAAAAAAUCAGUAUGAAAACCCUAAAAGAGAUUUCUAUAAUGAUGAACUAUAUAUUGAUAGAAGACAAAAGGUCUAAACAAAUAAUUUCAAUAACAAAGUACUUUAAAAAUUUAUGGUAAUCGGAGGUCUAAGAUGCUAGCUUUAAAACCAGAAUUGAGUAAGAAGUAAUUUAUUAAUAACUUUGCUUUUGGCUUUGAUUUAAAGAUCCAGAUGAAGCUAAAGGAAUUUAGGAACCUAUCUCGGAUUUUAUAUGAAACUUAUCUCCAUGCAAAAAUAAAAGAAGGUGAAAUGGAAAAGUUUAACUCUACAAAGGCUGGUACUAUGGAAUGUGGAUAUGUAGUUGGUAGUGGAGAAAUUAAGGAACUAUUAAAGAAGCAAAUCACAAAUUAGCUUCAAUUAGAGAUGAAUUGAUGGAAGAUAAAGUUAUCUUAACUACAGACGACCUAACAAAACAGGAAAUAGCUAAGGUUUUUGAUAAAUUAUCUCAACAAAAUUCUAUCAUAUUGGGAGUUGCGAACUGGAUUUUUGUUAUCGGAUGUAUCUUUGGAAAGAUAAUUUUUAGCAAAUAAGAAAACUAAUGAAUUAUUGAUCAUUUAGAAAUUUGAUUUUGCUCUUCUUGUACUAAUUAAAGAAUAAAUAAAGUAGAAAGAUAUAGGUAUAAAAGUUGAAUUUAGGGAUAUAGAUAUUGGCUUAGAGGAUCAAACUAAAGGUAGUCAUAUGUUUGAUAAAAUGUCUCAAAGUAAUUUAGGCUGGAGAGGAGACAUAAUCAAAAUGUUGGAGAUUUUACUAUAUGCCUUCUAACCAAGAAAUUUUACUUGUUACUCCAAUGGAUUUGACAUUAAGAGAAAAGUUUUCAAUAUUUGCAUUUGGUUUAUAUUAUCUAAACUUAUAUGCUAUUAAAGAAAAAAUUAUGCUAGCUAUAUGACAAAAGUAGGUAAUAAAGGAAACUGCUACACAAAUAUGAAUGAUGGGAUAAUUGCCAAUAUGAUAUUUCAUCCAAGUGACUCUAAAUAGGGAUAAAGAAGAGCUCUAAAGAUUUUGAAUAUGGAAUCAUUCCAAGAAAUUGUGAAUAUAAAAUUGAGAAGCAACAUGUUAUUCAGAUUCUUAUGUCGAGCAUUGUUGGAAUUUUAGAUAUUGUUGCGGUACUAAAAUUUGGGAAAAGAUUGAAUGUUAGAAAAUCCAAUAUUUGCCUUCAAUUUGGAUAGAAAAAAUGCAGCAGUUAUUUUUAAUAUAGAGAGACAACUAUAAUUGAUUUGUUUCCAAAGUUUGAGGUGGUCUAGAUUUUAAAAUUAAUUUGUUCACUAGAUGGUCACAAUUUUACACACGAAAAAGAAAACUAGUAUUAGUCUUCAAUUUGAGGAAGAUUUAAAUAACAAUCAGUGUAGAAUAUGAGAUAUUGUAGAAAUUUGAUAUUGAGAUGGUUAACUGCAAGUAAGAUAGAAUUAAGGUUAUGUGUGUUAGACAAGAAAGAACCUUCACUAGAUUUUGGAAUAUGAAGUACUUAGUUAAAGGAGUAGAAUAAAUUCCUAUAAAGAAGGAAAUGUAAGGGGAUACAAACUAUCCACAAACUUUGUUGGCCUAUUCUAAGAAUAAGGAUGCUUUUAGUGAUACUUAACAAUAUUAGAAACAAGCUACUAUCUGCUAUCAUGCUUACAUUAUAAGAAAAUGUAAUGGAAUCACAUGCACAACAAAAGUUUAGAACUUAAAAGUGAGUAUAACAGAAAAGAUACCAAAUUUAUAUUUAAGGAGCCUCUAUACACUUGUGAAUAAGAUAAUUGUUGGGAUUUGCAUUCAUUUAUGAAUGGUCGGCAUAAUAUUAAAUAGUGAAGAAGCACUUAUCGACUAAUUAACAAUUUCUACUUGCUAACUAAAAGGAAAUUGCUCUUGUGCACUUUAGUGAUAAUUAACAAGGUUAGAAACAAGCUACUAGCCACUGCCAUGCUUACAUUGUGAGAAAAUCUAAUGGUAAGUAUAAAAGAAGAGAUAUCAAGUUUAUCUUUAAAAAACCUUUAUAAACUUGUGAAUAAGACAAUUUUCGGGACUUGGAAUUACUUACAAAUAGUCGGUACAAUACUAAAUUGUGAAGAAGUUGCUAUGGAUUAAUUAACAAUUUCUACCUACUAACUAAAAGGAAGUUACUCUUCUUCACUGAUAUUAGAGACAACAACAAUCUUAGGGUAACUAGUAGACUUGUUUCCAUAGCUAAGUGCAUAAUUGCUAACAAGAUUGAACUAUUAGUUAAAGGAUUUGGUUUGAGAUCCUAAAUUUGUUGACAUUCUUGAGGAUGAGGAUAGUCUAAGGGGGUGGAUUGUCAUACUAGUAAUUAUAGUAUAAUUUUAGGAAUGGAAGAGUGAUAGAAUUUUAUUGGUUUAGAUAUUAUGUCCAUGGAUGAGUUACAAUAACCAAAUUCAGCUAUAAAACAUGGAGUUCUUUCUCAUUUCUAGCCUCCAAAAAUAUUUUAAUAAAUUGAAUGAGUGAAAACUGCACUUAUGAGCAUUUUUCUUUCUUCUUCCCUUUCCUUUUGUAUUUUCUUACCUCUUGAACAAUUGCUCUCUUAAUUCUACCAUUUCCACCCUUUAUACUUUCUAAAUCCUUAACUUAUUAUUCAUGAGAUAUUGAUUUUGAUUGUUGCUCAAUUACUUUGUUAUUAUAUAGAAAUAUUUUCUACAGCACGUUAAUAUGAGUUUUUGGAUUUAAUUCAACUCUAUAGCAUUUAUCAUAAUAACCUUAUUAGCAACAGAGCUUUAACGGGAUGUCAUCAUUUGGUAGAGUAUUUAUCAGUUAGUUAGAAGUUUUGAAAAAUGACAUAUGGGGAAAUUGGAUUAGACUAUCGUUAGAGUUAGUAAUGUGCCUAUUGUAACUCUAUUCUUCUUUAGAAGACUUGUAUGACUCAUUAUUCAUUAUUAUGAUUAUUAAUUUGUUUUCGCUUUAGUAGACUGAUUCAGCUCAUUUGAUCAAUUCCUUUCUCCUUGUUAUUAUAUAUCUUUUCUCUUAAUCAUUUUCUUCCCUUAUUUUUGCCAAUUUUAUCCUUCAUUGUAUCAGUUGCUUUUAGUUAAAUUAGCUUAGUAUGCUACAAAUUAACUCUAAAUCUUUAGGGCUUAGUUGAACUUUGUGCCUAAAACAAGUAAGGAGGGCAGAGCCAUAGAGUUACCAAUGUUGGGUAACCUAUGGUGGGUCUUUUAUUUAGAUGUGAAAAUCCAUAGCAUUUGAUGCUCCAUAUUUGAUCUGAAAGGAAUAUAAAGCUUAGUUCUAUUAGCAACUAGACAAAAGAAAGAAAUGAUGAAGACAACAAAGAGAAGAAUAGAAGACAAACAACAGUAAGAGAAGUAAAGAUCGAAAACAUUAGAUGAGAAUGAGAUUUUGCAUAUAAUAUUGGAGAGGAGCACUGACAAAGAGAGGAUAUUAUGUGUGUGUACUACCUAACCUUAGAAGAAAGAGACAAAAUAAAGAUAAGAUCAAAGAGAAAGAAAAGGCAAGAAAAGUAUGUUGUGCAAAGAAAAGAGCGUUCCAUAUAGAUGGUAGGUGAUUAGAUGACCAAAACUUGCGCUGAAUCCCUAUCAUGCGUUACCUAUUUGUGUUGACAAAAAAAGAGACAACAAACAAAGAAAGAUUGCAAAGAAUUACACAAUAAUGGUUGUGAUAAUUUUCAAGUAAAGUUACCUUUGCCAAAAAUUGAGGUUGGAUUAGUAAUUUACAUGGAAAAAACCAUUGCAAUCAUUAUAUUUGCUACUGAGUCAUGUUUUCUUGAAAUCCAACAUACUUAUUAACCUUUUACUUUUGAAUUUACAAAUUUGUAUGUGUUACAAAUUUAUUUUUAUAUGAUAAGUUUAUAUAGAAAUAAUUGCACAUGAAUUCUGACAUCUGGGGUGUAAAUUUAAAAUAAUGGGACAAGGUUCGGAAUUGUCCAGGAGUAUUUUAAACCAAUUUUAAUAAUGAAUUUGAAAUUGAAAAAUGCCAUUGACGAACAAGGUUGAAGGGUGAAAAAGUAGAAAAAGAUAAAAUAAAAUAUGUAGUUUGCAAAAGAAAUGAAAAUGUGAUCAAAAUAAUGACUCAAAUCAACCUGUUUAUCACUAUUUAAGUAAUGGAGAGCUUUCUUAAUAAGUAAUAUUUCACAUAGUAUUUAAAAUUAGUACAUCUAGAGCUUAUAAUUAAUUAAUUAUUUCUAGCAAAGAUGAUUAAUAAACAAAUCGUAAUGAGUGCAAUUCUCCCCUUUGCUAUGCAAUUAGUAAUACUAAUAGAAAAAUGAAGGAUAUAGCAAUAUGAGAUAAAUGAAAAAAAUAGAAAUAGAAUUUAAAGAAACAAGUAGAAAAGAAAAACAAAAGAAUGAAUAAAUAAAGAAAAAUAAACUAAUAUAUCAAGGGCACUUUUGUUCUAACAAAUCAAACAAGGAACAAAGUAUAUAUUUAAUGAAUAGAAGAGGUAAAGGGUAAAGUUCAGGAGAUUUAGUGCAAUUAACACUUGAAAAUAUGAAAUAAUAAAUUAUUGUGAAAUUCAUAUAAUUUCCUUAAAAUUUUCUUUUUAGAGUCUCUCGAGAAUAGGGAAAAAAUUGUGAUUUAGAUUGUAUUUUACUAUAACAAAAACAAAUUUUAUGCAAUUUAACAUAAUAUGUAUCUUCCAAUAAAAAGAUAAAAACCCUUCUAACUAAUCGUAACACAUGCAUAAAAAAAUAUAUGACGCUUAUAACUCACAUAUCAAUCUACUAACGUUCAAUUCACCUACACAAAUGCAUUCUAUGUUCAUUUUCACAACCCAUACGCACAUUCAAUUUCACAAUCAUUAUGCUAAUAAUUCAUAAAUAUUACACAUAAUUCUUAUAAGACUUCACCUUGUUGUAUCUUUUUUUCUUUUUAAAUGUUGUAUCUUCAAUAUCCUGAACAAUAACUUAUCAAAAUGGAGGUCAAAAAAGAUGGCAAAUAUUUGGGUAGACCCGGUCUACAGCCCCACUCAUAGACCAAGUGAUCCAAAAUUUGUCACUUCGUCAUUAACUCUUCCUCCUUCCUCAAAACACACACUUACAUACAGUUACAUCUAGUCAUUCACAGUAACUUUCAGUCAAUGAACUUCCCAACCAUUCUUCAAUUUUCAUCACAAUCUUUCUACUUAUUGCUACAUUUUCCAAAACAAACAUAUACCCAACAUAAAAAAACCAGGCAAAAACAAAUAAAUCUAGAUUUUUUACACCAAUUUGAGUCGCUUUAUUAGAUUCUUAGUUGAAACUCUUGAAGUUUCCCUAUGCUUCUCCAUUGUUUGUUUCACAAAUUCUUUUGAUUUCCCAUUUGGUCCAAGCGAAGAAAAAGAAAUUCUUGAUUUCGUUGACAUGGAUUUGAUUUUUCAAGAAAAUUCCAACUUCACUCUUCAGCGCAAAAAUAAUACACCAAUAGGAGAGAGAGUUUGAGCAUGGUUAAGAAACAAAAUUCUUGAUUUCUAAAUAUAUAAGUAUUGACACUCCUUCCUUGGGAAAUAUAUCAAAAAACUCCCUGUGGUUUGAAUGUUCAAUUUAACUUCCUUGGGAGAGAGAGAGAGUAAAACUUGCAAUAAAUAAUGUUGAAGAGAAAAAAAUGCUUGCACUUGCCGAAAAUACCCCUAUAUGGAGAUUAAAAGCUGAAGAAAGAUAGAGGAAGGGUUCCAAAUCCUUAUUCCCUUAAUUUUCAAAUCGAUCUCCAAAUCCUUCCCCUUUCUGGGAUUGAAGAUACAACGAUAAGGGAUUAGGAGUGAAAUUGUUGAUUUCAAAAUCUCAUUUGGGAUUAGAUGUUUUCUAAAAUAUCUUCCUCAAGCUAUCGAAGUGGCAACAGAAGUAGGGAUUUGAGAUAUCAAUGCAAGUUAUGUAAUUGUGGAAGGAAUGCUAAGUGAAAAUCGUUGAAUCAGAGGAAUGUUAAGGGGUUUGAGAUAUCAGCACAAGCAUUAGGAUGAAUUUUCCUUGCAAUUGACCUCCUAUUUUGUUAGAAUUCUCCACUGAUUCUUGAAAGAAGUUGGAAAAUUUCAAAUUUAGGAUUUUUUCUUGCUUUCACUUUCUCUCUAUCUCUCUCGAUUCUUCAAAUUUCAAGUCCAAGAAUAAUGAAAAAUUCUCCUGAUGCAUUCAGUUAUAUAAGGGCACUAUCAAUAUUUCACGUACAACCAUUAGAUUGGAUACUUUUUGUCCAAUUUUCAAUCUAGUCGAAAUCACAGGGAGGUAUAGUAUAAAAUUCCAAAUCAGAGAAAGUUAAAUUGAACAUUCGAUAAAUCACAAGGAGUUUUUUGAUAUUUUACCUCUCUUUCCUUAGUCUUCCUUGCAUCUCCCUUCCCACUGCUUCCUUCUCUUGCAUCUAGUGCCGAGACCACUUUGUUUUCGUGAAUCUCCACCAAAUCCUCCGUCGUGCCCUUCUUCUCCAUUUCUUCUUCCCUUAUUUUUCACAAAAUCAAAAUCUAAGCAAAAUUACACCCAAAAGUACAAGCCAAACAAAAGCAAAACUUGAAAGGUAACAAUUGAGGGGUUUGUAGAUCUUGUUAAAUGGGUAAGAUGAAGUGAACAAAGUAGAAAGAAUUCUUAUCUCAAAAACUUGUUGCCACUAGAAGUUUCUUUGCUUUGGAAUUUCAAA